UCAGAAUUGAUAUCAUAAUGCCUUAAAUUACCUCGGAGUCCUAUUGGUGGAUUCACGGAUGUUCAAAGGCCGUAUUCUCGGUAAUAACAGUCGGGUUUUUAUAGGAAUGGACGUUAAAAAACCACAGCAGUAUUGUUUAAGGUGGCAGCGAGACAAUACGUUUUAUAUUGAUUAAAAGAAAAACCGAGUCCAAACAGAUUCUGCGCGGACCGAAGGUUUCUUCCGAUUAGUGACGGACCGUUUUUACAAAAGAUCCUUUUCAACGGAUCAUAUGUUCGAAUUAAAAGUAUAACACCAGUCUUAAUGGCAAAAACGGAAGUACAUAAUUACGAAACAAUGACAUGAA